AUUCCCACGAUCCACUCAGAUGCUCCUCCUAGACAGCAGUUGUCUGAUAUUUCUCCUUUUGUGGUUGUUUUAGGGAAAAACUUAAAAUGGAUAUGAAAAGUGAAGAAAGUGAUCAUAGGAGAAAACCAUUUCAGGUGUCUGAUGAUUUGUGAGCCUCAAGUGACUACUCUGUGGAAUCAUCUGUCCUUGCCUUUGAAUUAGCUUUCCCUAGGCCAUGAGUCAACAUUAGUAGUUUAUACAUCCAAAUUGAUGACAAGAGCACCUCAAAGGCAGCAGCCUCAAGGAGCAGCCAUGGCCCCAGACUUGUCGCACGGAUGCAGAAAACUUAAUGGAGGAGGCUGAGCAAAACAGAGCGUGACACUCCCAAUCAUCUGCAUGCUGGAAAUGAGGAAAUGGUUAUUGAAUGAUACAAGUGCUUUUCGAUCAUUUAGAAAGUUCUGUUUCCCAAGAUCUUUUUUUUUUUUUUUUUUUUUGAGACGGUGUCUUGCUCUGUCACCCAGGCUGGAGUGCAGUGGCGCGAUCUCGGCUCACCACAACCUCCACCUCCUGGGUUCAAGCGAUUCUCCUGCCUCAGCCUCCCGCGUGGCUGAGACUACAGGCAUGUGCCACCAUGCCCGGCUAAUUUUUGUAUUUUUAGUAGAGACAGGGUUUCACUAUGUUGGCCAGGCGGGCGGAUCACCCAAGAAUGGGAUAACUGCCUGGCACUCACCAAGCUACACUUGAAGAGGAUCAAUCCAUGUCAUCAUGUCCCCAAUUUCAUAGCACCAAGUAUUUUGUUUAUUCACAAAUGCCCUAUUAUGGACAUCUAGCAAACAAUGAUACAUCAGAAAAGGAGAUGUGCAUAAAUUUUCAUGGAAUAAGGGAUGCGCAUGAAAGAAUGUGCCACAGAAAAUGAGACACAUCAAUGAGGGUUGUGGAAAAUGCACUAGAAUCAACAAACAUGGGGACUAAUUCAACUCGGAUAUCAUGUCUUCAGAGAAGUUUCUCCUGCCCUCCUCUCCCUGUAGAAUUAAGUAUUCUUCCACUGUGCCACCCUCUAACUUGUGCUCAUAUCUUCCUCUAUUGUAGUUAUGUGUUCACAUCCCUGUUGUUUUUGUACCGGCUUCUCCCAAAGGGAGACAUUUAGUCUUAUUCUUCUUGGUAACUUUAGCACAGACCUGGCAGAUUGUUGACACUCAACAAAUGUUUAUUGACUCAAAUGCAUUCAGUUGAACAUUGACCUUUGAUCAACUCUGGGAAAAGUCUGCAAAGCUAGUUAGGACAUUCAGAAAUUCAUUUCAUUUCAAUCCUAACUAAAUAAAUUAUUGAAGUCUCAGAACUUCUCAGUACUUGAUUUAGACACAUAGAAACUUGGGUAAAUAACACCUAUAUUGUUAUAUUCCUCAAGAAAAAGUUUAUCUUUUCAUGAAAUGAAUCUACUGAGGAUAUUUAUAGAAACUGAAUGUAAGUGAGCAGAAUAAAGUGGUGUGUGUGUGUGUGUGUGUGUGUGUGUAUGUAAUUUGAAGAGUAGGUGGGAGAAGGUUGUGAUAGGAUAGCAGAUCUUGUUUAUGAUAGUCACCAGCUAUAACAGACACUGCCUGAUGCCUUUCCAAUAUCCACUUCCCUUUUCUUUUUUUUCUUUUUGGAACAGAGUCUCACUCUGUCCCCCAGGCUGGAGUGCAACAGCACGAUCUCGGCUUACUGCAUCCUCUGCCUCCUGGGUUCAAGCAAUUCUCAUGCCUCAGCCUCCCUAGUAGCUGGGAUUACAGGCUCUCGCCACCACGCCCAGCUAAUUUUUGUGUUUUUAGUAGAGACGGGGUUUCGCCAUGUUGGCCAGGCUAGUCUUGAACUCCUGACCUCAGGUGAUCCACCUGCCUCAGCCUCUCUAAGUGCUGGGAUUACAGGCGUGAGCCACCGUGCCUGGCUCUCUUUUCUUACUUAAUGUCUGUGUCAAUUAAAUAGAAAUGUAUCAAGUUAAAAACCUUGCCUCGGUAGCUUCCAGUGCAAAUAAAGGUACCCAUGCCACCCCAUUCUGGCCAGCAGUAAAAUUGAUGGAAGCCUCUGGUUGGGGCUUCAAGGAAAGCUUUAUCAAAAGAUAAACUCACUGGCUUUGUCCCUUAGUUCAGUGGUCCCCAACCUUUUUGGCACCAAGAGACCAGUUUUGUGGAAGACAAUUUUUUCCAUGGACCAGGAGGGUUCCGGGGGAUGGUUUUGGGAUGAAAAUGUUUCACCUUAGAUAUCAUCGGGCAUUCAAUUCUCAUAAGGAGCCUGCAACCUAGACCUCUCACAUGUGCAGUUCACAAUAGGGUUCAUGCUCCUAUGAGAAUCUAAUGCCACUGCUGAUCUGACAGGAGGCAGAGCUCAGGCAGUAAUGCUCACUAGUUCCGUUGCUCGCCUCCUGCUGUGCAGCCCAGUUCCUAACAGGACACAGACCAGUACUGGUUCGCAACCCAGGGUUUGGGGGCCCCUGUCUUAGUUCCUUUGCCUUCCUUCCAGAUGGAUGCCUGGAGGAACAAUCAUCCCGCAAUUGUGAAAAUUGAAGCCAUAUUUUAAAGUUGGUUUCAAUUGUAAUACAGAAGAAAUCUGGACCUUGAUGACAUUUGAGCUAGAGUACUAAUCUUGAUCUUCCUAUUCAUGAGCUUGUUGCAAGAGACAAGACUUUUACUGAUUUAACUCAUUGUUGGGAUUUCUUGGAACUAAACACAGUCAUAAUACAUUUUUUCCUUCCCAGGAAAAUGGUAGAGCAUGACUUUUCAAAUCUAAUAAAACUCAUGUGUAGCUAAAACCACUCUACUGAAACAAUUCCAUCUCAGCCCAUGGUACAAGGGAUUUUCCUGAAUGAAAAAUGGUGUCUGAUCAUUUUGUUGGUUUCUUUGUUGGUUUUUCCUGAAACUUAGGGUUAAAGAAUCCAGGAAAGUUGUCUUAGAUAGAGUUAUAAUUUCCGUGGACAUCAACUGAUAAAUGCAAUUACAGUUUGUAUGCCUAGGUUUGGCAAAAAUCAUAUAAGCAACAUCCCUCACAUAAUAUUGUUUUAAUUAAAUUUUAUUUCUUUCUUGGUAUGAAACAUACUGCAGAAGCACAAUCAAUGAACAUUGGAUAGUUUCCUUAAAUCUUGCUCUUUGUCCUAUUUAUAUAAUUUAUUGUGUCAGUGGUUCUCAAGUGGUAUGCUCCUGCAACUCAUCAUCUGAAAAUCCUUCCCAGAUGUGCUGAAAAAUUUUCAUUAAUUUGUAUAUUCUAUUUUAUUUUUAUAACUAAGUACACAUGCUUGUGACUGGAAGAGAAGACACCCCUCAUUUAAUCCCAGAGGAAUAUUUGGCCUUGAUUCAUGCCCUGCUCACUCCACCCCAUUAUUAAGAUAGAGAUCGCUGAAGAAAUCCCUGCUCUAUAAAUGUAGCUGAUCCAAAAACAAAAUGGAAAUUCAUUAUUUUAAAUAUUUCUACAAGAUCUUUGUACAACUCUAUUUUUUUUUCCUAUUAAGAAUUACAUGAUUCUAGAAUAAGUUCCAACCCUAAGUAUCAACACUGGAACACAAUUUUAAAACAGGAGGCGAUUAUCUCUAUAGUGAGAUUUAACUACAGAGGUGAUAGCUCUGGUUAGUGAAUUUCAGGACUAGAAAUCAGGCCUGCUGUCUCUUAGCUUAGAGGAGGUAUAAUAAGAAGAGGAUUAGAACUACUGUGUAUAUUAACAAGAAGAACUCUAUUAUGUUCAGCUAUCAUUAUAUAUGAUAUUAUGUUUCUUUUUAUGAACUAUAGUUCACUGUCUUUAAGCAUAAUGUUUGCCCAAGGUGGGGGUGUUGGUGUGUGUCUGUGUGUAUAUGCAUGUGUGCACAUGUGUGUAUGUAUAGUUGAUUCAUUCAUUCUGACCUACUGAAUUUACUGAAGGAAUAAGAAGAAAUACCUUGAACUGAGGGACCUGGCUUAGCUCAACAUCUGUACCAUCUACCUUUGAGUAUCCAUUCCUUUACUAUGAAGCAUGGAUGCUAAAACUAAAAUUGCAUUUGCUAAACUACUUUGUAGCUAGAUUCCUGGGUGAGAUUAGAUUUGGUCAAUUAGAUGUUCUUGUGUAACAUUUAGAAGGUGAUAGUAAGGCAAAGGUCAUGUGACUGGCUGAUUUUAUUUAUGUUCAAUGAUCUUUAUUGGGGUACACUUUAUAUAUAAUAAUAAAUAAUGCACACAUUUUAAGUGUACAAUUUGAUGAGUUCUGACAAAUUUAUAUGCAUGUAUAACCAGCAUCAAUAUCAAGAUAUAUAAUGAUCCCCUCAUUCCAGAAUAGUCUCUUGUGUUCUUUCCAGCCAAUGCCCCACCCCUGGAUUCUGGCAACAAUUGAUCUGCUUUUUAUUACCAUGGAUUAUAUUUGUCUUUCCUAGAGAUACAAAUAAAUGAAAUAAUGUAGUGUGUCCUCUUUAACUUUGGCUUAUUUCUCUCGGCACACUAUUUCUGAAAUUUGUCCAUACUGUUGAUAUGGCAGACAGAAUUUUAAGAUGGUUCCUAAAAUUCUUGCCUCCUGGUAUGUAUAAUUUUCUCUCGGUUUUCCGCUGAACACUAACCUAGGUGCUAUUGUAAAGGGAUUUCUCAAGUGUAAUUAAAGUCCCUAAUAAGUUUAUUUUAAGUUAGAAAAAUUUUCCCAGGUGAGCUUGAGCUAAGUGAGUGACCUAAGCAGGUGAGUUGUUAGAAAAAAAUUAAGAGAUAUUUGAAGCGUAGACAAAAUUCUGUUGGCUUUUAAAAGAAAACUUCCAUGUGAUAGAGAAAGCCAGAUGAUAGGGAACACAAGGUUACCUCUAAAUUGACAACCAGCAAAAAAGCUGAGACUUCAGUCUUAUCAUCAUAAGGAAUUGAAUUCUGUCAACAGCCACGUGACCUUAGAGGAGGCCCCUGAGCCGCAGAUGAGAUCAUGGCCCUGGCCAAUACCUUAAAUUCAUCCUGGUGAGAUAUGAGCAGAGAACUCAGCUAUGCCAUGCUCAGAUUUCUCACCUGUAGAGCAGUAAAUUAAUAAGUGAGCAUUAUUUGAAGCUGCUAAGUUUGUGGUGAUUUGUUACACAUCAAGAGAAAACAUAUGCUGUAUAUAUUAUUAGAUUUUUCCUUUAUAUUGGUGGGUGUAUUUGUUAUCUAUUACUUCCUAACAAAUCGACAAUAAUUAAGUGUCUUAAGACAACACAUAUUUAUUACCUCAUAGUUUCUGUGGGUCAGAAAUCUGGGCAUGGUUUAUGUGAGUUCUUUGAUUUAAAGUUGUUGGCAAAUCUGUAAACAAGGAAGCAGUCAGGACCGAGGUCUCAUCUGAAAGUCAACUUGGGAUGGGUCUGCUUCCAGCCUCACUUAACAUAACAGCUGGCAGGAUUCAGUUGCUCUUGGGUAGUUGGAUUGAUGGCCUCAGAUAACUAGGUAGCUAUUAGCUAGAUUUCACCCUCAGUUUGUUGCCGUGUGGGCCUCCCUAAGGUGGCAAUUUACUUCAUCAAAACCAGCAAGGGAGAGAGUUGGCUACAAUCUCUAGUAAUGUAGCUACAGAAAUGACAUCCCCUUAGCAAUGAGAUAUUUUAUUAAUUAGAAAGAAAUUACUCAACAGGAGGGGAUUACACAAUGUAGUGAAUACCAGGAGGCUGAGAUCAGAAGGAGCUAGUGUAGAAGCUGCCUACCACAGUGAGUAGUAUUCUAUUACAUGAAUAUACCAGAAUGUCUGAAUCCACCCAACUGGGCAUAGACGUUUGUGUUCAUUCAAGAUACAGACUAUUAUUAUUUUAAAAAUAAAAGUUACUAUGAACAUUUAAGUAUAAGCUUUUGUGUGGGCGUGUUUCAUUUGUUUUGAAUGAAAUUGCAGGGUCGCAUAGAAAAUGCAUAUUUAAUCUUAUAAGAAGCUGCUUAAAAUGCUUUGCAAUGUGAUUUUACCAUUUUACACUCCCAACAAUGUAUAGCAAUAUAUCAUAGAUCUAGUGGUUUCAUAUCUCCACAAACACUUGAUAUUGUCACUCAGUUUAAUUGUAGCUACUUAAAUAGGCUUAUAAUGGUACUCGUUAUGAUUUUAAUAUGCAUUUCCCUAAUGCCUAUUAGGGACUAAUUAUGUUAAGCAUCUUUUCAUGUAUUUGGAGGCCAUUUGUGUACCUUCAUUUGUAAAAUAUCUGUUUAAGUAGCUUGCCCAUUUGGAUUGCUUUACAUUUUAUUAUAGAGUCAUAAGCAUCCUUUAUAUAUUCUGAAUAUAACUCUUUUAUCAGACAUACAUAUAUAUCAAAUAUUUUUUUCUAAGUUUGUGGUUUGUGUUUUUACUUUUUAUACUGUUUAUUGAAUAGUAGAUUUUAUAUUCAUUUUAUCCAUUCUGUUAUGAUCGAUAUUUUUUGAACUAUGAAAAUAUUGCUAUGUAAAAAUAAAAAAUAUAUUUUCAUCCCGAGUUUCAUAAUUUUAGCUUUCACUCUUAUAUCUGUGAUUCAUUCUGAGUUUUCUUGUAUAGUUUAAAGUCAGAGUGGGUGUUUGUUUGCUUAUUAAUAUAUUUAUAGAUAUUUCUAAUUCUUUCUAGCACCAUUUAUUAAAAAGUCUCUUUUUUUACCCAUUGAAUUAUUUUUUUUAAAUUGUUAUGUCUAAAAUCAAAUUACCAAAUACACAUUGUCUAUUUUGAACUAUUUAUUCUGUUUCAUUGAUUUUUAUGUGUUCCUUUACACCAAUAUCAUUGUCUUAAUUACUGUAGAUUUGUUGGAAAUAUGGGAGUCAAAUUUAAGGAUUUCAAUUUUGUCCUUUUAUCAAGUUGUUUUGGCUGUUCUAGGUCCUUUGCAUUUCCCUAUAACAUUUGGAAUUAGGUUGUCAAUAUUUCCCCAGAAUAAAGCCUGCUGGGAUUUUGAACAGGAUUGCAUGGAAUCUAUAAAUCAAUUUAGUGAGAAUUAAUAACAUAUUAAGUACUCUAAUUGAUGAACAUAGUAUCAUCUUCCAUUUAUUUAGUCUUUGACUUCUCGGAAAUGUUUUAUAGUUUUCAGUGUGUAGGUCUUGAAGUUUGUAAAAUUCUAAGUGUUUUAUGGUUUUGACUGUAAUUGUAAAUACCUCCCAUUGUUCAUUGUUAGUACAUAGAAAUAAAAUAAAUUUUGUAUUAA
ensembl:lncRNA MIR99AHG mir-99a-let-7c cluster host gene